GCAGUAGAGAGAAGAAGUCUAUGACUGGGGUGGCUGGGGUCGUUGACCAUUUUUAGGCAUUCCUCUGACACCACUUGGAUACCACGAAGACAGGGGUUAAAAAUAAAUAAGGAAAAGACAAACAUUUUGACCUUUUCAACCCUGACCUCUCGUCGUCUUCCAGGAAGCUUUGGGGGCAUCCGCCUCUACGACGGAGCUGAUCGACAUUACCCAGAAGGCCUUUGCAGUCCCAGUCGUGGAAGAUGAAGGCCCAGGGCGCGGCUGCCAUGGCGUCCAUCGCUACAACAGACGGGUUCUCUGGUCGCCCCUCACCUGGUAUGGUGUUGUCCGCUCUACUGCAGGGACUGGUUGGACGCACCUGGACUGGAAAGGUGUGUGUGUGUGUGUGUGAUAAAGUGGUCAGUAGAAGGGGGGGUGCUUAUAGGAGGUUGUAAUUAACUUGACCAACUUGUGUCUAGUGUUUAGUACAGAUGCUAGUUGGUCUAUGUACAGAUGUCUAGUGUCUAGUACAGAUGUCUAGUGUCUAGUACAGAUGUCUAGUGGUCUAGACAGAUGUCUAGAUGUCUAUGUACAGGAUGUCUAGUACAGAUGUCUAGUGUCUAGUAAAGGUGUCGUUAGCAGUGCAUGUCUAUUACAGUGUCUAUGUCUAGUACAGUUUCUCUAUCAGAUGUUUGUGUCCUAGUGUUAGUACAGAUGUCUAGUGUCUAGUACAGAGUUUCUCUCAGUGUUUGUCUAGUGUUAGUACAGAUGUCUUCUCACUCAGUUGUUAUGUCUAGUACAGAUGUCUUCUCACUCCAUUUGUUUGUGUCUAGUGCACAGAUGUCUUCUCACUACAGUUGUUUGUGUCUAGUACAGAUGUCUUCUCACUCCAGUUGUUUGUGUCUAGUACAGUGUCUUCUCACUCAGUUGUUUGUGCUAGUACAGUGUCUUCUCACUCAGUUGUUUGUCGAGUACAAGAUGUCUUCUCACUCCAGUUGUUUUGUGUUGUGUUUGUCUAGUACAGAUGUCUUCUCACUCCAGUUGUUUGUGUCUAGUACAGAGGUCUUCUCACUCCAGUUGUUUGUUUGUCCGAGGAGGAGCUGUUGA
rnacentral:lncRNA from 1 species